GUGAAAUCCCCGGGCUCAACCUGGGAACUGCAUUCGAAACUGACAGGCUAGAGUCUUGUAGAGGGGGGUAGAAUUCCAGGUGUAGCGGUGAAAUGCGUAGAGAUCUGGAGGAAUACCGGUGGCGAAGGCGGCCCCCUGGACAAAGACUGACGCUCAGGUGCGAAAGCGUGGGGAGCAAACAGGAUUAGAUACCCUGGUAGUCCACGCUGUAAACGAUGUCGACUUGGAGGUUGUUCCCUUGAGGAGUGGCUUCCGGAGCUAACGCGUUAAGUCGACCGCCUGGGGAGUACGGCCGCAAGGUUAAAACUCAAAUGAAUUGACGGGGGCCCGCACAAGCGGUGGAGCAUGUGGUUUAAUUCGAUGCAACGCGAAGAACCUUACCUACUCUUGACAUCCACGGAAUUUGGCAGAGAUGCCUUAGUGCCUUCGGGAACCGUGAGACAGGUGC
rnacentral:rRNA from 1 species